rnacentral:rRNA from 2 species
CAAAACGACUCUCGGCAACGGAUAUCUCGGCUCUCGCAUCGAUGAAGAACGUAGCGAAAUGCGAUACUUGGUGUGAAUUGCAGAAUCCCGUGAACCAUCGAGUCUUUGAACGCAAGUUGCGCCCGAAGCCUUCGGGCCGAGGGCACGCCUGCCUGGGCGUCAC